AAAACAAACUUUCCAAAAAUAGGAACUGCAGCUGCAGUUCGUCCUCCCGAGCCGGAAUUCUCUUAAAUUUUCUUCAAUCGAUUUCUCCCUCAUCCGGCAACCAUUUGAGGUGAAACAAAGCCCAGAACAGUUCGCCACUUCGCUACGAACAGCCGGGGGCCCUCCUUUCCUCCCCUCACGGCUGCUACACGGCGGUGGAGCUCGAAAAAGAUUUUGGCUCGAUUUUAGUCAACGCCGGUUUUCUCCUAGCUCCGGCCACCAAAACUUCCGAUCCUUAGCUCUAUGAACUCGCCUCAACCUGAUGAUCAUCAUACCAGAAGGAUCGCACCUGGAGUGACGGGUUUCACGUUCGUCGGAGCUCGACCGGUUUUCGAUCCGAAACCAAAACCUUUCGAUCGUGAUAUCUCGAGUUGUAGUGCAUCGUUUUGAUUGAUUCUUGAUCCAGUGAGUUUUCCUUGAUGUUCUUAACAACUCUAUAGAAGGAAUCAAAGCCUUAAAUUGAAGUUUUUACGUCGAAAUCUUGGCUCGCCGGUUUCUGCAUUUCUUCGCCGGAUUCUGGAAAUUUUUCGGCCACCUUCAAACUGUUCAAGGUGAUCGACGGGAUGAUUGGCGGACGAUUCGUAAAAUCGUGGUUGUGCUGCUAAGAAGACGCAGCUGCAUUAGAGCGGGUAGUCCUGCAGGUCAGGAGGAUCAUGGCGGAGAUCGUGCGGAUUAGAGUAUGGGCUUUAGCUUUACAGCUUUGUAAUUUGUGAGGUGAGUGAUGCUCAGUUGAGCCUUACAAUUUGAUUGGUGAGAGUGUGCUGUAAUAAAUAACUCGUGGAUUUGGUUUAUUGUUUUAAUGAGAGGUGUGAUGUGUGAUUGUUGAGAGAAAAAAAUUCAGGACGUUUAUUGUAUUUGUUAUUAUUCA